UAGAUGAUCUGCUAAGAUGCCAGAAAACACU
rnacentral:piRNA from 1 species